GACGAACCUCACAAACGUUAUUCGGAAUUACUGGGCUUAAAGGGUGCGUAGGCGGCGCGGAAAGUUGGGUGUGAAAUCCCUCGGCUCAACCGAGGAACUGCGCCCAAAACUACCGUGCUCGAGGAAGAUAGAGGUGAGCGGAACUCACGGUGGAGCGGUGAAAUGCGUUGAUAUCGUGAGGAACACCCGUGGCGAAAGCGGCUCACUGGGUCUUUUCUGACGCUGAUGCACGAAAGCUAGGGGAGCGAACGGG
rnacentral:rRNA from 1 species